UAACCAAGUACACGCAACCGCAAAUGAAAACGACAAAGAGAAUUUGUGCCCGGGUUCAGUUACACGAAAUAUCAGCCACACUGUGGAGACUGAGCUUUUCGCGGAGAUGGUUGCAGAGAUCACUACCAUGUCUCUUAACUCGGGGCAAAACACCGCCAGGGAUGAGAUGCAGACAGGCAAAAACGAGAAUGAACAAGAAUUCACCCUCGCAGAGAAAAGUCUCCAGCUCCUACUUCUUCAACAAUACCAAGAUUUAUUGGAGUCUAUGAUAAAACAACAACAGCAGCUGGCCAUUGUUGAGGAACAGUUGAUGUGGAUUAUGCAAAACAAAUAAAUAUCUGUGCUCAAAUUGAACGGAUAAACAGAAAAUAAACGAUCUCUCCUUGAACUUUCAUUAUCCCAGUAUCAUUACUAUUCAAUUUGACUUCAUUUUCAAAGCUAAGAAAAACGUAUUUAUUUAUUUAUCUAUUUAUUUGUGGGUUGCUGCACUUUUUAUCGUGUCAGUACAUAUAGCCAUCGCCUGUAUCUGUUGUCGCGGCCAGCGUCUUUGCUGUCGUCGCUGUUCACUUUUAUAGAUGACACGAUAGGUGGAAAACUGUUUGACCUGUUGUCUUGAAACUUAUUGAACUGAUGAAUAUUCACAGCUCAUAGGUCGAGUUCCAAAACUCAUCGUGAUUGGACUAUUAUUUCAGCUGGAGUUUGAAAACCAGCCUGAUCGGAUUACCUUUCUGGAAGUUAUGCAGUUUUUUGUGAAAUGUUAAUUUUUCACAUAUUGGCAUUUACUGGGUGGAUUUGGACUUUUGUGUGCCUGAAUACGUUUGCUGGUCACAUUUUCUGAAUAUCUAUGAUACUUAUAUCAUAAUAUUAAAAAUCGGUGUUAAUUAUGUUAUUCCGUGAUAUUGCAUCAAAAUUAAACCCUAUUUUGGCCACUGGCCACCAUAAUAACCAUUAAAAAAACAUGUUAUUUAUUAUUCUCAAACUUACAGAUAAGAUUAUAAGGAAUGAAAUACAGCUUGAGUUUGAAAACCAGCUUGAUUAGACUAUUUCAUGGAAUUUAUACAUUAAAUUUUCAGCCAAUCACAAAUAAUAAUUUUGCUUUCAAAUUUCGUGCCUCCCUUUUGUUAAACUUAGCUUAAGUCAAGUACCUAACCGAUUCAUUCAACUGACGUCCCUGGUGGCUAUAUUUGUGGUUGACGCGGUAUUUGGCGCUUUUUCAUAUUUAUGAAAUGAGGACAUUCUUAUAUGUAAAAGGUAAUGGGGACCUUUUAAAUGCUGCACUUAUCCAAGGUUAUUAUUUUUAAAACUUAAUUUAUUCGUUUUUCUAAAAAAGUAAUUUCAAAGACUCUUUUGUUAUUAUCUUAUAAUUAUGUAAAGUAGAUUUUUCAUGUAUCAAAUGUAGAAGUUCUUAUAGCCUUCAAGGGCCCGUUGAAAAACUACGAGACAUUAUCAGGCCUACCCAACUACCAGACU